GGCUCGGUGGUGUAGUUGGUUAUCACGUCAGUCUAACACUCGUUGGUUGUGCACUGAAGGUCCCGAGUUCAAGCCUCGGCUGAGUCA